rnacentral:lncRNA from 1 species
CACGACACUGUGCUUGCCGUGGGUUGACCUUGCGAUGGUGCCUAGGUGCUACGGUCUAGGCCUCUGUGCAUAGGCCACGAGGAGAAAGGUGGCGCGAGGGCGCCAACCCUCUGUUGGUUAGGUUGGGCCAUAAGGCUAGGGAGCCAGCACUGGCUGAGCUCCCUGGGCUGCUGAUUUCGAGCCACAUGGCUUGAUGCAUUUUUAUUUUUUUUUAACUGGGCUCGAGCCCGUGCUUAAGGGAGAAGAUAAGGGCCGCAAAGUUUAGGCAGCCUGGUUGGGCCGGGCUGCCCUGACUUUUUCUUUUGUUUUUUGUAACCACCUAACGAAUCUUCCUUGCAUCUUUGUAGAAUUUCUUCAAGCAUGUCUUCCUCGAACCAUAAGAAUGAUGAUGGUGCGCCGCCAUUGUAUCAUCAAGGCGGGUCUUUGAGCAAGGUUGGUUACUUCAAGGCUGCUUGAUAAGCUCAUAUUUAUAUAUAGGGUAAAUUACAUAGUAACCCCUCAAGUUUGAGGUCUAUUACAAUAUCAUACAACAUCUUUAAAACAUUUCACUUUCAUACCUCACGUACUAUUUUAUUUCAAAAUAAUACAUCCGUUAGAUUUUCCAUCCAUUGAUUCGUUAAGUGCUGACGUGGUUGCCACAUUUGUGCCACGUGGCUGCCAAAUGUGUGCCACGUGGAAAAUUUUUUUUAUUACCCUAUUGAAAAAAAAAAAAAAUUGAAAACCCAUAAUUUCAUCCCGUGCCUCCCUCCCUCCCUGCACUUUUCAUCUCUCCCUCUCCACAGGGGGGUGCACAGGGAGGGUCGAAUUGUAGUAAUAAUGCAAGUAGGGAUCGUUCUAAACCAAGGAUUAGGAGGGCUUGCUAAAACCUCUAAACUAACUCAAAAACAUAAAAACAAAGUUAAAAACGUUUGAAUAGACUUAAAGGACUCAAAACAGGUUCACAAGACUCAAAACAACUUAAAAACACUCAAAACUGCAUAAAAACACAAACUAGGCAGUUUCUGACUCUAACACAACUUUGGACGAAAAUUUGGGUUUUGACUUGACUCAAAACACUCUAAAACACAAACAAUAUAGAUUUUAAACACUUUGAAACAAGAAAGUAAAAGGGGGAUUUUAGUUUUGAUGAAUUUGAAACAAACAAACA